AGUGAACGCUGGCGGCGUGCUUAACACAUGCAAGUCGAACGGCAGCACGAACUAGUUUACUAGUUUGGUGGCGAGUGGCGGACGGGUGAGUAAUACAUCGGAACGUGCCCUGUAGUGGGGGAUAACUAGUCGAAAGAUUAGCUAAUACCGCAUACGACCUGAGGGUGAAAGUGGGGCACCGCAAGGCCUCAUGCUAUAGGAGCGGCCGAUGUCUGAGUAGCUAGUCUGUGGGGUAAAGGCCUACCAAGGCGACGAUCAGUAGCUGGGCUGAGAAGACGAUCGACCACACUGGGGCUGAGACGAGGCCCAGACUCCUACGGGAGGCAGCAGUGGGGAAUUUUGGACAAUGGACGAAAGCCUGAUCCAGCAAUGCCGCGUGUGUGAAGAAGGCCUUCGGGUUGUAAAGCACUUUUGUCCGGAAAGAAAUGGCUCUGGUUAAUACCUGGGGUCGAUGACGGUACCGGAAGAAUAAGGACCGGCUAACUACGUGCCAGCCGCCGCAGUAA
rnacentral:rRNA from 1 species